GCAUUGGUAGUCCAGUGGUAGAAUUCUUGCCUACCAUGCAGGAGACCUGGAUUCAACUCCCGCCAAUGCA
rnacentral:tRNA from 1 species